rnacentral:rRNA from 1 species
GCUCAAAUUUGAAAUCUGGGGUCCUCGACCUCCGAGUUGUAAUUUGGAGAGGAAUCUUCGGGGGGGAGCGCCGGCCCAUGUUCCUUGGAACAGGACGUCACAGAGGGUGAGAAUCCCGUGCCAGGCCGGCUGCCUCCUCCCGGGUGAAGGGCCUUCGACGAGUCGAGUUGUUUGGGAAUGCAGCUCCAAGUGGGUGGUAAAUUUCAUCUAAAGCUAAAUACCGGCGGGAGACCGAUAGCGCACAAGUAGAGUGAUCGAAAGAUGAAAAGCACUUUGAAAAUAGAGUCAAAAAGUACGUGAAAUUGUUGAAAGGGAAGCGCUUGAGACCAGACUCAGGCCCGGGCAAACAUCUCUCCCCUCGGGGCCGUGCAAUUGCCUGGGGCUGGGCCAGCAUCAGUUGGCGUGGCGGGACAAAGGCGNGGGGAAUGUGGCUCCCCUCGGGGAGUGUUAUUAGCCCCGCGCUCAAGGCCGCCGACGCCG